UCUAGCCAAACAAAUAUUAAAGGCAACGCCUGCCCAGUGAACAAUUAAACGGCCGCGGUACCCUAACCGUGCAAAGGUAGCAUAAUCAUUUGUCUACUAAUUAUAGACCUGUAUGAAAGGCAAAAUGAGGGUCUAACUGUCUCUUGUAGUAAAUCAAUUAAACUGAUCUCUCAGUAAAAAAGCUGAAAUACCAACAUAAGACCAGAAGACCCUGUGAAGCUUAAACUAAACUAUUAAACCCAAUAAUAGAUACUUUCGGUUGGGGCGACCUUGGAAAAAAAAAGAACUUCCAACAGGCCCACAAGCCAUAACGACCCAGCAUAGCUGAUAAUUGAACCAAGUUACUCCAGGGAUAACAGCGCAAUCUUCUUCAAGAGCCCAUAUCAAAAAGAAGGUUUACGACCUCGAUGUUGGAUCAGGACAUCCUAAUGGUGCAGCAGCUAUUAAGGGUUCGUUUGUUCAACGAUUAAUAGUCCU
rnacentral:rRNA from 1 species